GCAUUCCAAGCAACAGUAUAUUUUAUAUAACUGGUUCUUUUUUUGUUGUUUUUACCACUUUAUAAAGCAAUACAAUGAACUGCAAAGAAUCCGACAUCUGUACAAUGGGAAGACAAUAGCGGAGUGACAUUCACACACGGACAUGGUGCGACCGAAGCCAUCCUUACACGCACGACAACAUUAUGGGCAUAAAGAUACAAAAUAUAAUGUAUUUUUUUUUCCAUCUAUAUAAAUACACAGAAAUGGGCGAGUCUAAAAGUUUGAAACUGUUUGUUAACACUGAUUAGCAAAUAAAUCUGUAACAUUCCCAAAGUAACAAAGACAACAACAACAAAAAAAAAUAAACCCCACGCAUAACACAGCGGCGCAGGAUCCGCCAACAGAAACGUCAUAUUGCUUCCUUUUUUCUUUCUUUUUUUUUUUUUCCUUUUUAAGGAAAAGAAAAAAAAAUAGUAACCCCAAACCAACCUCGCAAUUUGCAAAACAAACGAACAAAAUGAAACAAGCCCCUGCGGGCUCCUUUGCUGUCUGAUCAUCCUGCCUGCUCCAAUGGGAAGGGUUGCCUUUUGUUGAUGCUGUUGUCUGGGGUUUUUGGGGCAACUGGUUUCUUUACCUGCCCGACCUGCUGGGUGGGGAUUUACUUUGCGCUUUGGUUCAGGCGGUUGAAUUCACUGAAAAAUCAAUGCCCAGAGGCUGGGUUGGGUUUUUCUCCCUACCUGGUUUGUUUUCCAUGUGUAAUUUGACCAGGAGGCAGCCAGCAAAUGUUGCAUUCAGAGCAACCCCAAACUCUGCUCAAAACCACGAGCCCUGCUGUCUCCAGCGGUGAUGAGGGGCUGGUGAAGACCAUGCAAUGGUACAUCCCAUCAGCAGCUGAUGAUAUGGAUCAUUUCCCAAAAUAGCUCCCAGGGGCAAAGCCAAAGGCAGCCCCAUUUAAUGGGAACCCCACAUUUUGUGCAUUGCAGGUGCCACUGAGCAGGACAGACAGCAAAUUACCUCCCCAGGGAGCAUUUCCCAAUAGACAGCAAUAUCAACAGCAAAGGCAGGACGGGCUUCUCCAAAGAACAAACUGACACAAAAAGGGCACGUACAUUAAAUUUACACACACACAAAAAAAAUAAUAUAUAUAUAUCUAUAUAUAUAUGGGGGAAAGUGCGUUUUUAAGGAUAUCUUUGGCAAGAAUAUAUGCAGUUCUCUGUGCAGGAAGGAGUGAUGUGUGUGUUUUUGUGUGUGUGUGUGUGUGUGUGUCGAGAGAGAGAUACCAUCCGGCUGCUGACAACGGCAGUGUGAUUACAACAAAACAUAUGCUGGGCUUAACUCGUGCAAGCUUGAAUCUCAAAUAGUAUGACUGCACUUGAAAAAAAAACCCAAAGAGUAUUUCCUGUCCCUUUCAUAAGGAAAAAAUAUCAACACUAGGUCCCCGCCAGCCCCAGGACCUGGGCAAUCCUAAAUGCUGCUGACGGUCUCUCCCGGGGACAGAAAGGGUUGUUACACCUUAAAACCUUCUUUAAAAAAGGAACUAAAGGGGGAAAAAAGUGCCUUUAAAGGGAGCUGAUAAACAUCCGGCUACAUCAUUGGAAGGUGACUAGCUAUGUGUUAAAAAAACAAUACAAUCAUCAGAUGAUUUUGUUAGUGUUCGAGAUUUGGAUACAGUCUAAAUUUUCAGGGGAAGCCGGGAGAGGCUCAGGGCCCAAAGCAAGUGUGAUGCUAUUGGCAGGUAUCUGCUGAGGUUGGCUUCUAUGCAACAUCUCUGGGGUGCUUAGAUCUGCUUCAUUUGUACGGGGAGAAAAAGAGAAAUAGGAGUUCCAAGCACCAGUUUCCAAGGCAGCAGAUUAAAAUAAAAUUACAUUAUUAUAAUCUCUUUUCUUAGCAGUGAGAAAACCAAGUCUGAAAAAUAGAGGCUUUCAAAAAUAUAUCUUUAUAUAUCUAUAAACACAGUGUUUUCUCUGAUGGGUGAAUGGCAGGGUGAGGAGAUUACGGGUGAGAUCGUCUCUUGUCUCGCUUGAAUUUCGCAGAAGGAGGGAAUCACUUUUUGGAAGCAUCAAAAAUUAAAAGAUCUCUGCAUCUGUGUGGCCAGGGAGCCAGGGAGGGGGAAACCCCCCCCCAGAACCUCCUGUCCCACCACCAUCUCACAACCAACUCCUCGCUACCCCUCCUUUCACACUCCAGUACAUCAGCACAGCCCUGCAGCCCCGUCCGGCCGCCCACGCCGCUCACUCCCCCGCGCACACACACACACAGACCCCGCACACACGCACCGUCACACAGCCACCCCGGCACAGGGGCCCCCGCCUCUUCCCCCAUCUGUACUUUGCCUUGCUCCGGAUUUUCUUUUAACAUGCAGGUGUUUCCCCAGGGCAGGGGAAGGAGGGGGGAUAUAAAAGCGAUAUGGCAAAAAUAAAUAUUUUUGGAGCGUAAAUUUAACCUUUUUUUUCCUCCUUAAAAAUUCAUUAGCUUACAGUAUUUUGUCAGUAUAGCUUGUAUAUAUAAUAUAGCUAUCAAGGCAAGGGUGGUCCACGGGAGACAAGCUCUCCAGGGGACUGCAGUGCUAUGUGUCUAAUUUUUGUCCCCAAAAGACUAUCUGGGCCACUUUGCACUGAAAACUUUACCCAAAAAACCUCUCAGGGGGCGUACUGGCAGCAGAGGGCUCAGCAAUGACCCCACAGCUCCAGCUGGACCAUUCCCCCUGCCCUAAACCUGCACAUGUGACUGAAACAUCCUCUGCCCCCUCCCCAGCACCAUAGGGCCGGGACUUCCACCUGCUGCACCCCCACCAUGACCUC
rnacentral:lncRNA from 1 species